UUCUCUUUUCCAGUCAUGGAAUCAUCUAGGGAAUGGAAAUUGUUGGCCAUGUCCCACAGGCCUGACUGUACUGUUAGGAUCCUUAUUCUUAGGAGCCAUAGCUGGGUAGGAGUGUUGAGCUGACGUCCCUUCUCCUCUAAGAAACCUGCUGAACACCUUCCUGUGGCCCUGUGAAAACCAGCCAGUGAGGUAUGGUGGCAUUUAGAUACUGUCCUUGGGAAUUACCCAUGUUCCUCGUUUAUUUGUACCUGCCUACUAAAACAGAAAAACAAAAGG